GCCGGUGUGGUGAAAUGGCAGACACGCAUGGCUUAGGACCAUGUGCCGCAAGGCGUAGAGGUUCGACUCCUCUCACCGGCA
rfam:Candidatus Thrbacteria bacterium RIFCSPHIGHO2_12_FTLL_57_11 rifcsphigho2_12_scaffold_20321, whole genome shotgun sequence.